rnacentral:rRNA from 1 species
AGCGAACGCUGGCGGCAGGCUUAACACAUGCAAGUCGAGCGGACCUUUCGGGGUCAGCGGCGGACGGGUGAGUAACGCGUGGGAACGUGCCUUCCGGUUCGGAAUAACCCUGGGAAACUAGGGCUAAUACCGGAUACGCCCUUAUGGGGAAAGGUUUACUGCCGGAAGAUCGGCCCGCGUCUGAUUAGCUAGUUGGUGGGGUAACGGCCUACCAAGGCGACGAUCAGUAGCUGGUCUGAGAGGAUGAUCAGCCACACUGGGACUGAGACACGGCCCAGACUCCUACGGGAGGCAGCAGUGGGGAAUAUUGGACAAUGGGCGCAAGCCUGAUCCAGCCAUGCCGCGUGAGUGAUGAAGGCCUUAGGGUUGUAAAGCUCUUUUAUCCGGGACGAUAAUGACGGUACCGGAGGAAUAAGCCCCGGCGAACUUCGU